UCAGGGUGUAGCUCAAGGGUAGAGCACUCGAUUUAGGAUCGAGUGGUUGAGGGUUCGAAUCCCUCCUCCCUUGG
rnacentral:tRNA from 1 species